rnacentral:lncRNA from 10 species
GGCGACAGAGCGAGACUCCGUCUCAAAGGAAAAAAAAAAAGAAAAACCUUUACUCUGAUAGAGGAGACUUAGCUUUCCAACAAGACCCAAUGAAGAUAGCAGGAGGCCAACUGAAUCUUCUCUUCUCUCUCUCCUCUUUUUUGUCCCCUGCUGUUAACCCAAAGGAGAAAACAAAACCCUUUCAUUAUCUUUUAACAUUACAUAAAAAUCAUCUUCAAAAGAGAAAACCAAAUUUCAUGUUUGCAUUAGUGCAUCUUUAAUGUUAAAGUUAGUUUUUAAAAUAACAUCUUAUAUCUCUAUCCAGUUUUAAUUAGUUUGACCAUAAGGUAAGAUUUUCCUCAACUUUUUAGAACCCUUUACAACUUUCCAUCAAACAGCAGAUCAAUUUUCUAAGAAAACCCUGUUAUUCUGACAAAUGGGUCCGAUUCUGGCCCCACAUCAGUAUGAUUUUAAUGUUUUAACCUACGGAAAAAAGCUAAACAGUUUAUUUUAAAUCUUAGCCAACUUGUUUACACCCACAGAAUUUUUACAAGAUCAACACUUUUCAAGCCCUUUUCACUUUGCUUAAACCUUCAGUUUUGUUCCGUUACUCUUCUAGGUUAAGACAAUCUUUAAAACCCUCUGGGCUGGGCUCAGUGGCUCAUGCCUGUAAUCCUAGCAGUUUGAGAGGCCGAGGCGGGCGGAUCAUCUGAGGUUAGUAGUUCGAGACCAGCCUGACCAAUAUGGUGAAACCCCAUCUCUACUAAAGAUACAAAAACAUUACCCAGGCAUGGUGGCAUGCGCCUGUAGUCCCAGAUACUGGGGAGGCUGAGACAGGAGAAUUGCUUGAACCUGGGAGGCAGAGGUUGCAGUGAGCCGAGAUCAUGUCCAGCGUGGGCAACAACGAGACUCUGUCUCAAAAAUAAAUAAAUAAAAUAAAACCCUCUGAACUAGACAAAAUUAUAUUCCCUACCCACCUUGUGUGUAAAACUGUUUCUCCAGUGGUCUCAACUACAUGUUACAAUGUUAACUCUUAGCAACUUUAAUUUUUACUGAAAAACCUGAUAAGUAAGCAAUUUUAAUUAUGUACUAGGGGUGGAGCCUAGGACAUCAGACAGAAAUGAAGAUAAGGUCUGAAUCCUUGUAGCAUAGUUAGUGGCCAUGGCUCUCCAGAUGUCCCCAGGCCUUAUCUAUAAUCUAAUGCGCCAAAGUAGGUAAAUUGAAUAAUUUUCAAAAGUCAAAGAAACAGUUUGACCUUAAAGUAUCUAGCAAAUCUGAUAUCUGACCUUAAUUUAGAUCAAAUGUCUACAUUUCUGAGACAUUUUAUUUUACCAAUAAUCUUUAAAAGUGUCUUUAUUUCCCAAAGAGUACUAAAGUCACACGAACAAAAAGACAUUAAGGUUUCUAUUUUUCUGACAAAAUAUUUGAUUUAAGCACUUCUUUUUCUAAGCCAAUUAAUCAGAGCUGUUUUAUAUAGAAACAUGUGACACAUGUAAAUACACAAACAGACAGAAGAUUCAGCACUUGUAAGAUUUUUCAUUUGCCAGUUUCUUAAUUGGAUGACUGGCUUCAGGGUGGAGCCUGUGGAGGAACAGGGCCAGGAAAGCAUGCGUUUCCAGGGCCAAAUAAGCAGCAAAUAAGCAGCUGAAGGCAAAGACAGAUCCCCAAAAUUAACGGUGCCAUUUUAUACUGGUUCCUGAAUCCCCAAAAGGAGGCAAAUACUAUGGGAGAAGACAGUGCAGUGCUUCCACUCUGCAUUUCAUUUUGCAAGGCAGCCCAAAGCCAAUCAGCCCAUUUUGCAAUCAGCCCAUCCCUCAUGGGAGUCUCAUCUCCAUUGUGGGGUGGGGAUGUUCCCUUAUCUUCCAGGUGUCCAACUUGAGCAUGCUUCUCUGAUCCAAGUGUGCCAAGAGUCAAGUAUCCCUCCAUAACUACUAUUAGCCAUCCCUUAAAGUAUACUUCCUAUCUAGUUAUUACACACCAAAGCUCUCUCAUGAGAAGUAAUUUCUGAUACCCCCAAAACUCAAAACCAUCAGAUAUAACACAGUGCAAAAGAGAACAGAGCCUUUGAUUUUGAGAGGGAUCUAUCCGUUUUUAAUUCCUGGCAUUUCAUGAGGAAAACAGAGGUUUUGUUUUUGUUUUUGUUUUUGUUUUCUCAAAACAGGGUGUGUGGUGCCUCCUCUGUUUUUCCCAAGGAGUCCCAGGCUACCAGGCUACCAGAAGUUAUGUUAGGGCCUCUUGUGUGCAUUAAGAGUGGCAAGACAAAAAAAAUGAAGAAAAAUAAUUUAGCCGACUGAGAAGAAAGAAUUUUUCCAGAAAAACAAGUUCCAAGAAGAGAAACACAUAAAGGUCUUUUAAAUGCAUCUACAGCUUGUUUAUCCACUUUUAAUGAAGCUGACUCUAAACCAUAGUGCUCUUUAAAAAAGAAAUCCUUUUAAAACUAUUAUUACCCAACUUUAGCAUGCCAAGUGGCCAAUAUUUCUAGCUUCUGAACUUUACCAAAGGUAACCUCCUAGGUGCUUCGAAGACAUGGUAAGCAGUUUUUGUUUGUUUGUUUGUUUGUUUUUUACAAGAUUUAGAAUCUCCACAAGGUAGUUCAGAGAAAGGAAAAUUCAAGAGAGGAAAUCAGAAGCUAUUUAUAAGGGAAAAAAAUCUCAAUAAAUGGCAAACCACAAAUAACAAACCAGAAAGGAAUCAUUCCAGAAGCCGAUAAUUGAACCCAGGCCACCACUGUCAAAAGAUAAAGCCUUAGCUACUGAGUUAUACAGCAUGGAGCAGCUUCUAUUGCUUUUCCCAGAAGGAGCCUAGAGAAGCCAAUUUCAAGCUUGCAAGCCUUUUAACUGCUCAAGAAAAACGUUUAGGACUAUGACAUGAACCCCAAAAUUCCUGUGCUCUGGAUGGUGGAAACCAAAAGAAAGUACCCACACAUGGUCACAAGGUUAAGCUCUUAAGGACACAAAACAAGACAGAGAAAUUUCAUACAGUAUUGGUUUCAGGGACCGGUAGCAAAGUUUGUAACUGACCAGCCUGCCAAGCUGACUUGAAAAGGAGGCUUAUAGGGGUCCUAAACCCACAUUCUAUCCUGUGAUACCCCUGUCUCCCUUACAGAACACAGAAAGACAAAUUCUUUGCACAAAAUACACCAGAUGUGUUACAGCGUAAGACUAGUCUCACAAGUCCUUUUUUCUAUUAAUCAAAUCCUUGCAGAGGAGACAAAUAGUUUACUGUUUAUCCAAAGAGAGAGAGACCAGAAACUUGGUUGGUAAGAAUUUCUUGCCCUUUUUUUUGGGAUACCAGGUUUCUGCAUUCCCUUUCUCUGGAGCUUCCAGAAGAAUGAAGCAGCUUCUGAUGACCCUGCUUGCUUGUGCUAUAGCUGCGGGGUUUAAGCCACUUUACAAGAGAAAAUCACCUUUUCCUGCUUUAUGGAACCAUAGACAAGAUUCUCAAAUUGCAAGAUGCUGCCCAACGGGCUGCAUGGGGAACUGAAUUAACAUUUUCCAUCCCAGCAAAAUACACAUAACAAAACAGACAUUAGUCACCUCGUGCAGCACCCAGUAUCAGCCUGGCAAAGCUCAAAAUUUUUCCAUUGGUCCCUGUUGUCUUUGACCCACUCCAGGUGGGGAUGGAUGACCUCUGAACGCUAAUUCACAAUGGGGUCUCUAGGCAAGGGGAAGAGCAGAUAGUCACCCCGAGAGGCCUGCUGAACCUUCUUUAGAGCCCAUUGAAUGCGACCAGACAAAUAAGGAGGAUUCUCUGAUUUAGGCCUGCUGGACUUUCAUCAGCAACCCCUCUGAGAUGCCUGCUACAUACACAAACACACACAAAGAUGAGAUAGACAGAUGGCCUUCCAAAUCAGAUCCCUAACCAAGAACUCCAAGAGUAUCCUUUCCAAGCUACUCUCCUAUUCUCCAUCUGAGAAACCUCCUCGAAAUCUUCCUGAUUGAGGAGAAGUCUCCCAAACCGGGACUCUUCCUACUAGAAAGAAAGAGCCAACCAAGACCCCCACCCAGGAGCCAAACAGACACCCCAUGGUGGGCCUACAGACACAGACACUCCAUGCUGGAGCUACAGACACCCCGCAAUGGGGCUACAGACACCCCACCAUAGGGCUACAGAACCAGUCAGGAGAAGGAAGGAGGCAUUGGCAGCACCUAGGAUACUCACCAAUCAGAUAUCCCACAAUGGGGCUACAGAUAGACACCCUGUGAUAGGCCUACAGUUAAGGGAUGUCUCCCUGGAACUAUUUCUCCAUUGCAAUUAAAUCCAUGCACAUUGGGUUGGCAGUGCCCCGCCAGUACAGAGUACGGGAGUCAGCCCCAGUCCAAGAGAACUAGGUGGCUGCUUGGGCUGGCUUCUGGAUCCAUCACUGGAGGGGGGCUACCUGCCCGUGGUUCACUGGGCCUCCUCCAGUGAUGUAUCUCGGAUAAGCCCCCAAAUUUGUAACUGCCCAAGGGGUUCACAUUGCCCGCUGCCUAGACAGUCAAUUCAUCAAGACAGGGGAAUUGCAAUAGAGAAAGAGUAAUUCAUGCAGAGCUGGCUGUGCGAGAGACCAGAGUUUUAUUAUUACUCAAAUCAGUCUCUGAUUCAUAGUUUUCAAGGGAAUUUCCUUCACUGACUUUGCUUUCUGGUUGUACUAUAAUAAAUAUGAUUUGGAGUAAUCCAUCUGCCAACACUCCCUCAACUAAAUCUUCCCUGCCCCAAACACACAGUGUUUCGCCCAGGAAGAUCUAGUUCUGUUUGUGUCUGAAGGGGGCAGGAUGGGGGAUCUAGGCCAUCCUUCUCCCUCAUGUGAGUGGCCAAAAGCAACAGAAGAAUCUAUGUCUUGCCCUUAACAUGGCCAAUGUCUGCUCCACAUACGGGCCCAGAGGCCACACUCUUAGCACUUCUGGGAAGCUGAUAACAACAUCUGCAAUGGAGGUCUUUCAUCCUGAGGCAAGGGUACCAGUUCUGCCAGCCCUUUGUAUUAUUUGGAAACAGUGCUGGGAGUCAUAUUUGCAGAUCCACAAAUGCUAUUUGAUUAUUCCAUGGCAUGAAAGAUUAAUUUGAGGUUUAGUGGAGAGGGCAGACUAAAGACUGAGGAAACACAGUUUGUAAGGGCAAAAUAUGCUAAGUUUGAGCAAAAAUACAUUCUACAUGUAGCCAGCACUCUGAGAACACUGGGGAGAGUAGGUAGAGCUGGGAUCAACAUUAAAAGAUAAUGCCCCAACUGUAUUUUAGCCUUAUUUGUACCUGCUGGCCAGCAUCUUAUCAUAAUUACCUUGGCCACACAGCCCUUGUUGUAUCUCCAAAGAGACAGCAGUGUCUGAAGAAAGAAGAUGGUUCAGAAGACAGAUGACCCAAGUCUGGAAGGAGUCUCAAGAAGGAAAUGUACAAUAGUGAAAAGUGCGACCUCUUGACUCAGAUUUCAUCUCCAAUCCUUGUUCUGUCAUAGUCUAUCUGUGAGAACUUUAUAGCAUCUGAGUCUGUUUGCUUCAUGCAAAAUGGAACAGAUGAUAUCUUCUAAGACUGUUAUAAAAAUCAUUAAAACAUGUAAAGCAUAAAAAGCCAGUUCAUCUUAGGUAUUAAAUAAUUGGCAAAUUUACUAACAUUAGUAUCUGUAAAAUAGAGAUAUUUGCAAUGUGCUUGUGAAAAGGAGAAAAAGAAUGCCUUUGGCCUGCAGUAGAUAUUUAGAAAUGGUCCUGUCUUUGCCAUGCACCACUACAUGUUUGACCUUGAGCAAAGCCACCUCUGUCAUUGGUAAGACGGGGAGUAUUUCUACUCUAUCUCACUCCCGUAACAACUGCAGUGGUGUCUGGAGGUAAUUACACAUGCCUCACUUGUUUCUUGGAGUUGUGAUGACUAAAAUUGAAGGCUAAGAAUGGGGAACAAUGCACUAGAAUGAAACACACUGGAUUUCGGGGCAACAGACUUGGGUUCUAGUCUUGGUACUGCAUUUUACCAACCAAAAGGCCUUAGGCAAAUCACCGAGUAAUCUGACCUCUCAUCACUGUGAGAAAAUACAAAUGUGAGAAAUUAUCGUUAUUGCUCCUUGAAGGCAAAGCCAGUCUUUUUUUUUUU